UUACGGCCAUAUCACGUUGAAACAACGGUUUCCGUACGAUCACCGAAGUUAAGCAUAGUCGAGCCUGGUCAUUACCAAGAUAGGUGACCGCUUGGGGAUACCAGGUGCUGUU